AGAUGUCGCUGUAGAUUUAGCAGCACAUUACUGUAAAAAUCCACAGUACAAUACUGCAUGUGUAUAUUACAGUAAAAUACUGCAGUUCACAAUGCAUUAUGGGUAAUUUUGAUUGAGCGGGAAACUUCUACAGUAUAUUUUGGUCUCACUGUAACCUAGCUGUAGCCUUGCUGUAAUGUGUUAGUCAAUAAUACAGGAUUGGUGUAGCGAAAGUGCGCCACAACGUCAAAUCACACAGAGCACAACUCCUGGCUGCAGCUGGAGGAGGAUAUUCGAUUCGAUUUCUGGCAGUUCGGUAAGUUUGCAGUUUGGUUUAUUUUAUGUGUUUCAUGCAAAGCUAUUAUUUAGUUUUAGUAUUUUGCACAACAGUUUGUCACAAUGUUGUUUUAAACGUGGAAUGAGAGAAAAGGUCGCCAACAAACGUUGCAGUCUCCCUCAGAAAUUAAACUACGUUAGAUGUCUAACUGUUACCCACUGCUUAAACCCGAUUUACACAUCCCACUUAAUUAAUCAUGAGGGUUUUGGUGAGUUUAUUUUCUGUGGAAUUGUUUGUUCGUUUACAAUGGCAAGGUAGGUAAAAUGACUUGUAUUUGGCAAUAGAUAAACUCCCGUUAACCAAUUUACUCCCGUUAACCAAUUGAACUAAGACUCCUCGCAAGCGCGGUAUUGCUGUCCCAGCUUAGGAUCGCUUAUCUUGGCUUUCCUUUGUUCAGUUAGGGGCAGGGAGGAGCAGCAGCAGUAUUCAGUUCGACCGUAUGACAGGCUAACUCGUGAAUUAGCUGUGCACGUGCUAAAACAACAUUUUCAUAUCAAUCACUAAUCAGUAUUUGCGUCUUCUUUUAAAUGUAAAAAUACUGUUCGGAUAUAUGAACAUCAACAUAGUUUGUCUGUAAAUAGACCAGACUUGACACACGCUUUCAGGUUCUAUAUCUCGCGCUCUCACUCGGCCCAAAUAAAUCUCAUGUGAAAUAACAAAGACACUGUAAAGUAACGUUAGCCCACACAGCACCAAACUGCUCCACACGAAGUGAAACGUAAUAUUUAACUGCGAUGAGUGCGAUCUAUACAGAUUACUGCGGUUUUCAUACACUAACAGGUGAAUAAAUGGUUCGCGGUGUUAUUACUGUUUACUUAUUACGGUAUAUCAGCAAAAGCAGAGAUGAUGUUCUUUAGAGUGUUUUACAUUCAGUUGGCCAAUAAGUAUUGUGUGGUAGCAUAUUUGUAGCAAUAUUGCUUCCAACACUUACAACAAGUUUCCAACGCCUCAAAUCAAUGCACGUACUUUAAAUGAUAAUUUUGCUACAUUUUUGCUUGGCUAUCUUAAAUGUAUAUAAUAAACAGAAUGGUUUCAAAAUUUUAGCAAGUAACAUAUUUUUUUUCCUUUCAGCUUUAGCGUGACAGUUUGGUCCCUUUUUGCACCCUGGGUUUAUGGGUUUUCUAUCAAGAUUUAAUGGCGACUUCAGUCAUCCUGCUCUUGAUGGCCUUCUUCAGAGAGGCGAUGGACUCCCUGUUCAUCUUAACUGAUGUCACUGCAACCCAGGCAGAUGUGA